rnacentral:rRNA from 1 species
UACGUAGGGUGCGAGCGUUAAUCGGAAUUACUGGGCGUAAAGCGUGCGCAGGCGGUUUUGUAAGCCAGAUGUGAAAGCCCCGGGCUCAACCUGGGAAUGGCAUUUGGGACUGCAAGGCUGGAGUUUGGCAGAGGAGACUGGGAUUCCUGGUGUAGCAGUGAAAUGCGUAGAUAUCAGGAGGAAUACCGAUGGCGAAGGCAGGUCUCUGGGCUAUAACUGACGCUCAUGCACGAAAGCGUGGGGAGCAAACAGG